GUGGCCGGCUCACAAGGCGGCCAGUGCGUGCCCGGCGAGCUAAGCUCGAUUAGUGUGCUGGUAUUUUGUCGAUUGUUGGGUGCACGAUGGGAGAAAGUGUGGGUGCAGGAAGGGUUUCCCAGGUGUGCGUAGUGUGAAUAGAAGAGUGCACUCUGUUAUGGUAGGUGUUUAAAGAAAAGAAGGGGUGACCUAGGGUACCGAAAGGAGUAGAGGCCAUCACCAGUCGCGGCCGGUGGCGGCGUCGGGACCGCGAUGAUCACAGCGGGCCCAAGAAGGAAGAAGGAAGAAAGGGUAGGAGUAGAGAGUGUAUCGAAAAAGAAGAAGAGGAAGCACGGGGGGAAGUAUCGUUUUGUUUAGGGAGUAUCUAGGCUGCUCCACAAAGGGUAACCAACGCACCGGCGCGGGCGCUGUCGGCGGUGCGGUACUAGACUCGAGGUAGGGGCCCCCGCCACGACGUUAUCAGGAGUAGACUUCGACCUUGGUUUUCGACAACCACGACGUUCGGGUCCAACGACACGGUCCCUGUUGCCGAUGCAGCACCCGCCUGCUCUACGACCUUGACCGGAGCCACCCUCGACGUUGGUUGCCGUUAAAAACGAAGUAGGCACAAAAACAAAAAACGACCUUAGUCGCUGAAAAAGAACGAUCAUAAGCGUUUAAUUCACAAAAAACGACCUUGGUUUCCUAAAAAAACGAUGGUACCAGAGACUUAAAACGACCUAGGUCAUGAGGAAAAAAACCAUGGUAACAAAACGAAAAACGACCUUGAUCGUAGUAAAAACGAUGGUGACAGAAACUCAAAACGACCUUGGUUUACUAAAAACACGAUGGUAACAGAAUCAAAAACGACCUUGAUCGUGGAUAAACACGAUGAUGGUUGAAACCUAAAACGACCUUGCAGCAGCUAAAACGAUGUUGGCCGUUUACAAAAACGAUGCAGGUAAGUACUGCUCAACGCUGGGUGCCGCUGCUGCUGUUGCAAAAACGACGUUGGCGGCAACGAAAAACGAUGCUGCUUGUUCAAAAAAACGAUGUAGACAAAAUACCACGCUAACCACGGCAAACAUAGCGGCUUUGAGUACGUCCGCUGCCGCUCCGGUCCCCGCUGCGUGGCCUCACGACGUUGGUACCUGGCAGACGCUAGCCAGUCGCCGCCCUAGACCUCGUGUUUGACUCUCGCCCCCUCCAUGGGCCGUUCGUGGUAGCGGCCUUUGCUGCACGCCGGAGUGGCAGCACUCAUCGCCGCUAGGCUGCUCGCACCCGCUAGGUCACUUGCGGCUGCUAGACCGUUCUGUUUUCACUUUUUGAUCCCCACGCUCCUCCCGUAGGAAAAAGUCAUAGGGGACCUGACCGUCGUAACUCUACCUCCUGAUGCGUCUACUUGUAUUGCCGCUCCCGCGUCGUUCUUGACUGCGUCGCCGGCCCUUGUUUCUACUCCCAAAUGUUCAGGCAUCCGCUGGUUCCUUCUUCGUCCAAGUCCUUCCUUCUUUAUCUCGUCGCGGGCGUCCCGAACAUUUCAAUUUGUUCUCAAAACUCGUCCUAGUUUUCCUAGAGUGGUUUUGUAUGGUAGACCCCUCGUUAUGACUUCUAACUCCGUGUAGCUACGGACGCCUGGACUCGGCCACCCACUACGUCUCAAUGCUAGGUCUGUCGCUCACAUAACAUCAGGUUCCGUCCCCGCUCUAAGGGCAUUGUCGGCUUUCGCAGGUGGUAUGAAACCCAGAUGCGUUGAGACCCCUUCUGCACAAGAUACCGACCCUAAGUCUUCGAUAUAGUAAGUAUUUGUCGUCCAUGCCCAAACUCUUACCUUCACGGGGGCUCUAUUGUUGGCAGAUGUUGUACUAACCUUUCUACCACUCCUCUCGUCUGCUACUAAAGUACGCCCGUACCAACUAUCAACAUCACUCGUGAAAGUACACGGGGUGUUGCUCGGAAGUACAGUCAGGAACUACGAUGGGUUAUCAGCGGCUAAACCUCUUUCAUCUCCGAGUUGAAGACGCGUAAGUGUCGUUUAGUCUAAUUUCGAAGUAAUCGCUUGGCCGCUUCAUUCUUCAUACGUCAUUUGACGACGCACGUGGUGUACCACUAUCUUCUAAACCAUUCAUAGGUCUGUCUUCUAACCUUUGAUGACUUUAGUUCACGGGUUUCGUUCUAUUGUCUUUGUUCCACGUUUCUGUUUCUACGUUUAAGUUCUCAGUCGUCGAAGAUAGGUUGUAGGUUAAGAUGUCCCCAUCCCUCUACGUUCUUGUCCCCCUGUUCUAGGUUCACUGCAAAGACGUUUGCAAAAAACCAUGUCCCCCGUUAAGACGGUGAUCUUCUAGUUC
rnacentral:rRNA from 1 species